GCUUAACACAUGCAAGUCGAACGGUAACAGCAGAAAGCUUGCUUUCUGGCUGACGAGUGGCGAACGGGUGAGUAACGCGUAGGAAUUUGCCUGAUAGUGGGGGACAACCUGGUGAAAACCAGGCUAAUACCGCAUACGCCCUACGGGGGAAAGCGGGGGAUCUUCGGACCUCGCGCUAUCAGAUAAGCCUGCGUUAGAUUAGCUUGUUGGUAGGGUAAUGGCAGACAAAGGCGACGAUCUAUAGCUGGUUUGAGAGGAUGAGU
rnacentral:rRNA from 1 species